CCUACGGGUGGCAGCAGUGAGGAAUAUUGGUCAAUGGACGGAAGUCUGAACCAGCCAUGCCGCGUGCAGGAAGACGGCUCUAUGAGUUGUAAACUGCUUUUGGACAAGGGUAAACCUGAAGACGUGUAUUCAGCAGAAAGUACUGUACGAAUAAGGAUCGGCUAACUCCGUGCCAGCAGCCGCGGUAAUACGGAGGUUGCAAGCGUUAUCCGGAUUUAUUGGGUUUAAAGGGUGCGUAGGCGGAUUGAUAAGUUAGAGGUGAAAUGUCCGAGCUUAACUCGGGAACUGCCUCUAAUACUGUUGAUCUAGAGAGUAGGUGCGGUAAGCGGAAUGUAUGGUGUAGCGGUGAAAUGCUUAGAGAUAAUACAGAACACCGGUUGCGAAGGCAGAUGACCAAACUAUAUCUGACGUUGAGGCACGAAAGCGUGGGGAGCAAACAGGAUUAGAUACCCCUGUAGUC
rnacentral:rRNA from 1 species